AGCAGCCGCGGUAAUUCCAGCUCCAAUAGCGUAUAUUAAAGUUGUUGCAGUUAAAAGCUCGUAGUUGAAUUUCGGGGUUAGUAGGUUGGUCAUGCCUCUGGUAUGUACUGGUCUCACUGAUUCCUCCUUCCUGAUGAGCCGUAAUGCCAUUAAUUUGGUGUUGCGGGGAAUCAGGACUGUUACUUUGAAAAAUUGAGUGUUUAAAGCAAGCUAACGCUUGAAUACAUUAGCAUGGAAUAAUGAAAUAGGACGUUUGAUCCUAUUUUGUUGGUUUCUAGGAUCGACGUAAUGAUUAAUAGGGAUAGUUGGGGGCAUUAGUAUUCAAUUGUCAGAGGUGAAAUUCUUGGAUUUAUUGAAGACUAACUACUGCGAAAGCAUUUGCCAAGGAUGUUUUCAUUAAUCAAGAACGAAAGUUAGGGGAUCGAAGACGAUCAGAUACCGUCGUAGUCUUAACCAUAAACUAUAGCCGACUAGGGAUCGGAUGAUGUUAAUUUUUAAUGUACUCUAGUUCGGUACCGG
rnacentral:misc_RNA from 1 species